rnacentral:rRNA from 1 species
AACAGGAUUAGAUACCCUGGUAGUCCACGCCGUAAACUAUGAUCACUAGAUGUUGGCGAUAUAAUGUCAGCGUUCAAGAGAAAUCGUUAAGUGAUCCACCUGGGGAGUACGUUCGCAAGAAUGAAACUCAAAGGAAUUGACGGGGGCCCGCACAAGCGGUGGAGCAUGUGGUUUAAUUCGAUGAUACGCGAGGAACCUUACCAAGGCUUAAAUGUAAUACGACCGAUUGAGAAAUCAAUCUUUUUUCGAACGGAUUACAAGGUGCUGCAUGGUUGUCGUCAGCUCGUGCCGUGAGGUGUCGGGUUAAGUCCCAUAACGAGCGCAACCCCUAUUUUUAGUUGCCAGCGAGUAAUGUCGGGAACUCUAGAAAGACUGCCUGUGUAAACAGAGAGGAAGGUGGGGAUGACGUCAAAUCAUCACGGCCCUUAUGUCUUGGGCUACACACGUGCUACAAUGGUAAUUACAGUGGGAAGCCAUCUGGCGACAGAGAGCUAAUCCAUAAAAAUUAUCCCAGUUCGGAUCGGAGUCUGCAACUCGACUCUGUGAAGUUGGAAUCGCUAGUAAUCGCACAUCAGCCAUGGUGCGGUGAAUACGUUCCCGGGCCUUGUACACACCGCCCGUCAAGCCAGGAAGCUUGGGGUACCUAAAGUCAGUAACCGCAAGGAGCUGCCUAAGGUAAAACAAGUAACUAGGGCUAAGUCGUAACAAGGUAGCCGUACCGGAAGGUGCGGCUG